rnacentral:rRNA from 1 species
UAGGGAAUCUUCGGCAAUGGGGGGAACCCUGACCGAGCAACGCCGCGUGAGUGAAGAAGGUUUUCGGAUCGUAAAGCUCUGUUGUUAAGGAAGAACGAGUGUGAGAAUGGAAAGUUCAUACUGUGACGGUACUUAACCAGAAAGGGACGGCUAACUACGUGCCAGCAGCCGCGGUAAUACGUAGGUCCCGAGCGUUGUCCGGAUUUAUUGGGCGUAAAGCGAGCGCAGGCGGUUAGAUAAGUCUGAAGUUAAAGGCAGUGGCUCAACCAUUGUAGGCUUUGGAAACUGUUUAACUUGAGUGCAGAAGGGGAGAGUGGAAUUCCAUGUGUAGCGGUGAAAUGCGUAGAUAUAUGGAGGAACACCGGUGGCGAAAGCGACUUUCUGGCCAUAACCUGACGCUGAGGUACGAAAGCGUGGGUAGCAAACAGG